rnacentral:rRNA from 1 species
GAGUUUGAUCUUGGCUCAGAGCGAACGCUGGCGGCAGGCCUAACACAUGCAAGUCGAGCGCCCCGCAAGGGGAGCGGCAGACGGGAGAGUAACACGUGGGAACGUACCCUUCAGUUCGGAACAACCCAGGGAAACUUGGGCUAAUACCGAAUACGUCCGUAAGGAGAAAGAUUUAUCGCUGAAGGAUCGGCCCGCGUCUGAUUAGCUUGUUGGUGAGGUAACGGCUCACCAAGGCGACGAUCAGUAGCUGGUCUGAGAGGAUGAUCAGCCUCACUGGGACUGAGACACGGCCCAGACUCCUACGGGAGGCAGCAGUGGGGAAUAUUGGACAAUGGGCGCAAGCCUGAUCCAGCCAUGCCGCGUGGAUGAUGAAGGCCCUAGGGUUGUAAAGUCCUUUCGGCGGGGAAGAUAAUGACGGUACCCGCAGAAGAAGCCCCGGCUAACUUCGUGCCAGCCGCCGCAGU